GAAAAUGAGUUUGUUGACAUCGUCGGUGAGGGGGAUGGAGGGGGUUUCUUUGGGUUGCGGAUAAUCAUAAUAGAUAAGAGAACCCCAAAUGAAGUAGAAGAUAAGGACUAACCCUAGAAAAUGAUAAUGCGGUAAUCUUUUCUUCCUUCUUCUCUCCUCCUUAAAAUGAAUAGAAAAUGCCCUUUAAAGAAUAGAUUUGAGCAUUGAAGA
rnacentral:lncRNA from 1 species